rnacentral:rRNA from 1 species
GCCGAUGAUCAAAUCACCCAGAAUGUGCCCGAUCUCAUCAGACCUGGGAAGCUAAGUUGGGUUGAGCCUGGACAGUGCUUCGAUGGGCAACCACCAUGCGUAACAGGGCUGCUGGGCA